rnacentral:rRNA from 1 species
GGCGGCGUGCUUAACACAUGCAAGUCGAACGGAAAGGCCCUGCUUUUGUGGGGUGCUCGAGUGGCGAACGGGUGAGUAACACGUGAGUAACCUGCCCUUGACUUUGGGAUAACUUCAGGAAACUGGGGCUAAUACCGGAUAGGAGCUCCUGCUGCAUGGUGGGGGUUGGAAAGUUUCGGCGGUUGGGGAUGGACUCGCGGCUUAUCAGCUUGUUGGUGGGGUAGUGGCUUACCAAGGCUUUGACGGGUAGCCGGCCUGAGAGGGUGACCGGCCACAUUGGGACUGAGAUACGGCCCAGACUCCUACGGGAGGCAGCAGUGGGGAAUAUUGCACAAUGGGCGGAAGCCUGAUGCAGCAACGCCGCGUGCGGGAUGACGGCCUUCGGGUUGUAAACCGCUUUCGCCUGUGACGAAGCGUGAGUGACGGUAAUGGGUAAAGAAGCACCGGCUAACUACGUGCCAGCAGCCGCGGUGAUACGUAGGGUGCGAGCGUUGUCCGGAUUUAUUGGGCGUAAAGGGCUCGUAGGUGGUUGAUCGCGUCGGAAGUGUAAUCUUGGGGCUUAACCCUGAGCGUGCUUUCGAUACGGGUUGACUUGAGGAAGGUAGGGGAGAAUGGAAUUCCUGGUGGAGCGGUGGAAUGCGCAGAUAUCAGGAGGAACACCAGUGGCGAAGGCGGUUCUCUGGGCCUUUCCUGACGCUGAGGAGCGAAAAGCGUGGGGAGCGAACAGGCUUAGAUACCCUGGUAGUCCACGCUGUAAACGGUGGGUACUAGGUGUGGGGUCCAUUCCACGGGUUCCGUGCCGUAGCUAACGCUUUAAGUACCCCGCCUGGGGAGUACGGCCGCAAGGCUAAAACUCAAAGGAAUUGACGGGGCCCCGCACAAGCGGCGGAGCAUGCGGAUUAAUUCGAUGCAACGCGUAGAACCUUACCUGGGUUUGACAUGGAUCGGGAGUGCUCAGAGAUGGGUGUGCCUCUUUUGGGGUCGGUUCACAGGUGGUGCAUGGCUGUCGUCAGCUCGUGUCGUGAGAUGUUGGGUUAAGUCCCGCAACGAGCGCAACCCUUGUUCACUGUUGCCAGCACGUUAUGGUGGGGACUCAGUGGAGACCGCCGGGGUCAACUCGGAGGAAGGUGGGGAUGACGUCAAGUCAUCAUGCCCCUUAUGUCCAGGGCUUCACGCAUGCUACAAUGGCUGGUACAGAGAGUGGCGAGCCUGUGAGGGUGAGCGAAUCUCGGAAAGCCGGUCUCAGUUCGGAUUGGGGUCUGCAACUCGACCUCAUGAAGUCGGAGUCGCUAGUAAUCGCAGAUCAGCAACGCUGCGGUGAAUACGUUCCCGGGGCUUGUACACACCGCCCGUCAAGUCAUGAAAGUUGGUAACACCCGAAGCCGGUGGCCUAACCGUUGUGGGGGAGCCGUCGAAGGUGGGACUGGUGAUUAGGACUAAGUCAUAACAA